rnacentral:lncRNA from 1 species
UUAGCUAUAAAACUGAAAGGCUGUGGAACCAAAAUCCUCUCACAAACUUUAGGUAAGAAAAAUUCAGCAAUAAUUAGAGAUGAUAAUUAACCUAUGUGGAACUCUGUAGUGAAGCUUUGCCUGCUGUAGCGUACCAAUUCUGUUGUCGCACCAGCAGCUUGCAGUGCUGCUGAAUAUGCAGAGUCUUUCUCCAAACAGUAUUUACUUCAACCAGACUUAAGAGUUCCGUAGAAAAAAGGCUCCUGAACACAUAAGUUUGCAUCAUUAGAACUAUAAAUCUAUAAGAAGCAUUGUAAUGGAGUAAUCACUUCAUCAAAUUAACAACCAUCCUAAUUUUGCAUUUUUUUCCUGAUGAUACAUCAUCCACGUAUUUCUCUUACAAUAGACAGUAUGUUGGUAGAAACUAGGGUUCUACCGGCCCUCUGCCUUAGGUUAUAAGGGUAGGAGGGAGGUUGGAGGAGACGAGGACGCUGCGGCCGCAGUGAGGAGGCGGCGGCCAGUAGAGGAGGCGGUGGCUAGAGUUAGGGUUCCGGCUCCUUUGGGAGCCGGGCAAUAGAAUUGUAGAGGAGCCGGGCAAUAGAAUUGUCUUAUUGCUUGAUUCCAAAAGGUGUCUUACAACUUGUUUAUAUAAGCUCUAAGGUAAUAGAAAUAAGGAAACUUGGGCUAANNNNNNNNNNNNNNNNNNNNNNNNNNNNNNNNNNNNNNNNNNNNNNNNNNNNNNNNNNNNNNNNNNNNNNNNNNNNNNNNNNNNNNNNNNNNNNNNNNNNNNNNNNNNNNNNNNNNNNNNNNNNNNNNNNNNNNNNNNNNNNNNNNNNNNNNNNNNNNNNNNNNNNNNNNNNNNNNNNNNNNNNNNNNNNNNNNNNNNNNNNNNNNNNNNNNNNNNNNNNNNNNNNNNNNNNNNNNNNNUAAGGAAACUUGGGCUAAGCCCCUAACUUAACUAAGAUAACUUGGGCUAAGCCCUUAACUAAACGGGCCCAUUGGACCUCCUCCGGCUAUAAGUCACGCCGGUCAUAACAUCUCUCCCCGCCUGCGCAAACAACUCGUCCUCGAGCUGGAAGUCUGGUAAAUGUUGGUGGAACUCGUCAAGCUGCUCCCAAGUGGCAUCCUCCUCCGGAAGACCUUGCCACUGGAUCAACAAGUGCCACACUCCGUGACGUAGCUGGAUCUGCAACACCUUUGCCAGUCCUGGAAGGAGUCGUCCGUCGGAGGUAGGAGGUAGCACCGGUGUUGCUGCCGGCGGUUCUCCAUGGAAGGGCUUCAGCAACCCCACAUGGAACACGUCAUGGAUGCGGGCCCUGGCCGGAAGCUGCAGGCAGUAGGCCACCUUGCCUAUGCGCUCCACCACAGAAAAUGUCCCUGCGUAGUGAGGGCCCAGCUUGCGCUUAGCGCGCGGGUCCAGGGACUGAGUGGAGCGGUGAAGGAGGCGUAGCCACACCCAGUCGCCCAUCGCAAACUCUGGGUCGCGGUGAUGAUCGUCGUAGUAGCGCUUGGACAGUUGCUGAGCCUGGAGAAGGCGUUGGCACACCUCUGCAAGCAUCUCGUCCCGGCUGCGAAGCAGGUCGCCCGCCGCCUCAGUCCGAGCUGUCUCAGGGUCAACCGGCAGGAUAGGCGGGGGCGGUGGGCCAUAGACCACCUCGAACGGCGUGGCGCGCAUGGCGGAGUGAUAAGAGGUGUUUUAGCAGUACUCCGCCCAUGCCAGCCAAUCCACCCAUGCACGGGGACGGUCACCUGUAACACAACACAAAUACAUGGUGAUCACCUUGUUCACCACCUCAGACUGGCCGUCCGUCUGAGGGUCGAAGGCCGUACUCAGGCGGAGCUUCACGCCCGUCAGGCGGAAGAGAUCACCCUAGACAUGCCCCGUGAACACCGGGUCUUGGUCGCUGACGAUCGAAGCCGGAAACCCGUGGAGACGGACAAUUCCGUUGAAGAAGGCACGAGCCACGGAUGCGGCCGUGUAGGAUGGCCGAGCGCGAUGAAGUGGGCGUACUUGGAGAAGCAGUCGACCACCGUGAGGAUAACGGACUUGCCGCCCACCUUUGGGAGGCCCUUGAUGAAGUCCAUGGAGAUAUCGGCCCAGACUUGAGAGGGCACCUCCAAGGGCUGCAGUAGCCCAGCCGGACGCAGUGUCUUCGUCUUGUUACGCUGGCACGUAACACAAGACCGCACUCAGUCCCGGACCAACGCCCGAUCACCGGGGAUGUAGAAAUCAGCGCGGAGACGGUGGAGGGUCUUCUGCACACCCUUGUGUCCGGCCGAGUGGGCCAGCAGCAGGACCUGGUGACGCAGAUCACCGUGAUCCGGCACAAAGAGGCGACACCCAUGUAGGAGCAACCCAUCCGCCCAGCGCCACGGCUCGGCCAGGUCGCCGGCUGCGAGGCGCUGCCGAAGAAGCUGAGCGUCCGGUGCGUCGGAGGUGGCCCGGCGGAUGUCGCGAAGGAGGGCCCCGAGCGGAUGCAGAGAGCCGCCCCGUCGGAGUCGCCGGUGUCCGAGUCGUGGUCGGCGUUGCGGCGGGGCAGGGCGUCGGCCACGGUGUUAAGGCGACCCGGACGAUACUCCACGGUGAAGUCGAAGCCAAAAAGCUUGCUGAUCCACUGGUGCUGGGGAAUGGUGGACAACCUUUGAUCCAAUAAGAAUUUGAGGCUGUAGUGAUCCAUGUGAAUCCGGAACGACCUCCCCCAAAGAUACGGGCGCCAGUGGCGUAUGGCCUGCACCAAGCCAAUGAGCUCCCUCUCAUAGGCCGCGAUCUUAUGAUGGCGUGCGGCAAAUGGUCUACUGAAGAACGCAAGCGGUCCGUCGCCCUGAUGAAGGACGACGCCGAACCCCACCCCGGAGGCGUCGCAGUCCACCAUGAAUGGCUGGUCGAAAUCGGGCAUCUGAAGGACGGGACCUGUCGUGAGGGCCUGCUUGAGGGCCUCGAACGCCUCCAUGGCCUCCGCAUCCCAGGUGAGGCGUCGCGUCGCAACAGGCGUGUGAGUGGGGACGCGAUGAGGCCGAACUCCUGGAUAAAUUUCCGAUAGUACCCCGCGAGGCCCAGGAAGCCGCGGAGAGCCCGUGGCAAGUGCGGUGUCGGCCAGGCCGCGAUCGCCUCCACCUUGUCGGCGUCCAUAGCCACACCCUCGACCGAGAUGACAUGGCCGAGGUAGGCGACUGAAGGCGUGCCGAACGAGCACUUCGAGCGCUUAAGAUGAAGAUGAUGCGCUCGAAGCUCGUUGAAGACGAUGGCGGCGUGCUGAAGGUGCUCUGCCCAAGAAGCGCUGUAGAUAAGAAUGUCAUCAAAGAAAACGAGCACAAACCGACGCAAGUAGGGUCGGAGGACGUCGUUCAUCAAGGCCUGGAAGGUUGCCGGAGCGCUGGAGAGGCCAAAAGGCAUCACCAAGAACUCAAAGUGGCCGUGAUGAGUCCGAAAUGCCGUCUUCGCGAUAUCGUCCGGAUGCAUCCGCACCUGGUGGUAGUCCGAACGGAGGUCGAGCUUGGUGAAGAAGCGCGCCCCAUGUAGCUCGUCCAAAAGUUCGUCAACGAUUCGGAUAGGAAAUUUGUCCUUGAGCGUUAGGGCGUUCAGGGCACGGUAAUCGAUGCAGAAACGCCACGUGCCGUCCGACUUGUGGACGAGGAGGACCGGCGCCGAAAACGGCGAUGUGGAAAUCCGGAUAAUGCCCAAAGCGAGCAUGAGUGCGUACUGCCGCUCCAGCUCGUCCUUCUGCAACUGGGGGUAGCGGUAGGGGCGCACCGCAACCGGCGCCGUUCCCGGCAGGGAUGAAUGCGGUGGUCAUACGCCCGGGCUGGCGGAAGGCCCUGAGGCUCGUCGAAGAGGUUGCGAUGCUGCUGCAAGAGAUGAUCCAACAGGGGGUGCUCAGGCCCUGUGUUAGUCGCUGCCAGCUGAAGCUGCGGCGACGUUGGGGAGGCGCCACCCACGCCCGCCCACUGGAUGCUGCGACCCAGGCGCCAGAAAGUCAUCGUCAUGGUGUCGAAGUCCCAGAGAAUGGGGCCGAGGGUCCGCAAGAAGUCGACGCCGAGGAUGAAGUCGAAGCAGCCCAGAUCAAUGCCGGCGCACGUGAUGGUGAAGUGCUCGUCGCCGAUGGUGACAGGCACGUCCCGGGCGAUCCCAUGGCACCGGAGGUGGUCACCGUUAGCCACGGUGACCCGGAGUUGCUCCCCGCCCGUCGGCUGCAGCGCUAAGCGGCGCAUCGUCGACUCGGGCAGGAAGUUAUGUGUGGAGCCCGUAUCCAGGAGGGCCACCAGGCGCUCGCCGUUGAUCAUCACCGGCAAGAGCAUAGUCCGCUCGUCUCGGAUGCCCGCGAGCGCGUGGAGGGAUACCACGAGAGCUGUCGCCGAAGCGGGCGCCGGGGCGGCGUCAACCGUAACUGGGCCGGGCAUGUCGCCGGGCCCGUCGGUGGCGGUGUCCUCCUCGACGUGGCCGACUCCAAGUAGAAGAGGCGCGGGCAUACAUGGCCUGGGACGUAUGGCUGGUUGCAGUUAUAGCAAAGCCCCUAGCGACGACGCUUGAGCUGCUCAGUCGGGGUGAGUCGGCGGAAGGCUCGUGGCGCGGCCGGAGCGGGGGCCGCCAUCGGUCCGGGGGCGGCCGCCCUAGGGAUGGUGCUGUCUGGGCCGGCCGGCCUGGCUUCCGUGCGUCGCGAGCCGGAGCCGCCUGCUGAAGGGCCUGCGUGCGGCGCUCGAAGGCUCGGGCGUAAUACAUGGCCGUCUGGAGGUCCUGUGGUCCGCGGAGCUCGAUGUCCACGCGGAUGUGAUCCGGCAGUCCGUCCACAAAGAGCUCGGCCCGCUGACGAGCCGACACGCCGGGCGCGUGACACGCCAGGGCCUGGAAGCGGUCCGUGAAGUCCUGCACCGUGGAGGUGAAGGGAAGGCGGCCGAGCUCCGCCAGUCGGCUCCCUUGGAUCGGGGCCCCGAAGCGCAGGAGGCAGAGCUCGCGGAAACGCUCCCAAGGGGGCAUGCCGCCCUCGUCAUGUUCCAUUGCGUAGUACCACGUCUGUGCGGCGCCUCGGAGGUGAUACGAAGCGAGCCAGGUCCGUUCACCUUGGUUGAGCCAGUUCAGGGGGUCCUCGGUGCCGUCGUAGGUGGCGAAGUCCAGUUUGGCGAAGCGCGGCGGCGUGUGGUUAGGGCCGCCCUGGUGGUAUGGCUCGUCGGGGCGGAGCAGUGGAGGGGUAUGCGCCGGGUACCCGUCGGGAACGGCGAAGCUGGAGGGCCCUCCGUACUGGGUGUGUGGCGGCGCCGAGGCCGUUGUGUAGACUGGUUGUGAUGAGUCGGUCACCCAGGCCGGUAGCGGCGACGGGUAGGGGGGGAACCGAAGCUGGUUGAGCGGCCAACCCCCGGCGCGGCGGUCGGGCCCGGCCCGGAGGUGGUGGGAGUCGGCUGCAACAACUGUAGGGUCGGCUGCUGUGGCCCCACAACCGAGGGUGGCGGAGGCCGCUGCAGUGGUGGCUGCAUCGGCCAGGCCAGCGCGGCGGUUGCCGCCAGCGGCGGCUGCGGCCAGGGUGGCCAGGACGGGCCGGCGUUGGCUGGUGGUGGCGCGUUCGGCCGCGGCCCGUAGGGCGCGGCCAGGUAUAGCCGGAUGCCCUGGACGGUGGUAGCCAGGUCACGGAUCGCGCCGGUCAGCUCUUUCGGGGUGAGGACGGCAGGAGGCGACGCGGCAGAGGAGGCCGGCGUUGGCAGGUGCGGGCCGCCGGCCGUGGUGAUCAUCAGAGUGGUGGUGGGGGACGACGACACAACGAUGGAGGCGGGCGGCUGUGAUGACAUGAUCGAACCAGAGUCUUGUGAUAUCAAACUGGUAGAAACUAGGGUUGUACCGGCCCUCUGCCUUAGGUUAUAAGGGUAGGAGGGAGGUUGGAGGAGACGAGGAC